rnacentral:pre_miRNA from 1 species
ACAACAUUCGGACCGUCGGUCUACCGAGCAAUAUCACCCGCUCGGUGGAAGAUUUUCCUUCCGUCGU